rnacentral:rRNA from 1 species
GGGCUCGCAGGCGGUUUCUUAAGUCUGAUGUGAAAGCCCCCGGCUCAACCGGGGAGGGUCAUUGGAAACUGGGGAACUUGAGUGCAGAAGAGGAGAGUGGAAUUCCACGUGUAGCGGUGAAAUGCGUAGAGAUGUGGAGGAACACCAGUGGCGAAGGCGACUCUCUGGUCUGUAACUGACGCUGAGGAGCGAAAGCGUGGGGAGCGAACAGGAUUAGAUACCCUGGUAGUCCACGCCGUAAACGAUGAGUGCUAAGUGUUAGGGGGUUUCCGCCCCUUAGUGCUGCAGCUAACGCAUUAAGCACUCCGCCUGGGGAGUACGGUCGCAAGACUGAAACUCAAAGGAAUUGACGGGGGCCCGCACAAGCGGUGGAGCAUGUGGUUUAAUUCGAAGCAACGCGAAGAACCUUACCAGGUCUUGACAUCCUCUGACAAUCCUAGAGAUAGGACGUCCCCUUCGGGGGCAGAGUGACAGGUGGUGCAUGGUUGUCGUCAGCUCGUGUCGUGAGAUGUUGGGUUAAGUCCCGCAACGAGCGCAACCCUUGAUCUUAGUUGCCAGCAUUCAGUUGGGCACUCUAAGGUGACUGCCGGUGACAAACCGGAGGAAGGUGGGGAUGACGUCAAAUCAUCAUGCCCCUUAUGACCUGUGCUACACACGUGCUACAAUGGACAGAACAAAGGGCAGCGAAACCGCGAGGUUAAGCCAAUCCCACAUAUCUGUUCUCAGUUCGGAUCGCAGUCUGCGACUCGACUGCGUGAAGCUGGAAUCGCUAGUAAUCGCGGAU